AUUGAACGCUGGCGGCAGGCUUAACACAUGCAAGUCGAGCGGGGGCUUCGGUCCUAGCGGCGAACGGGUGAGGAAUGCCUGGGAAUCUGCCUGGUAGUGGGGGAUAACGAUUCGAAAGGGUCGCUAAUACCGCAUACGUCCUACGGGAGAAAGCAGGGGGACCUUCGGGCCUUGCGCUAUCAGAUGAGCCCAGGUCGGAUUAGCUAGUAGGUGAGGUAAAGGCUCACCUAGGCGACGAUCCGUAGCUGGUCUGAGAGGAUGAUCAGCCACACUGGAACUGAGACACGGUCCAGACUCCUACGGGAGGCAGCAGUGGGGAAUAUUGGACAAUGGGCGAAAGCCUGAUCCAGCCAUGCCGCGUGUGUGAAGAAGGCCUUCGGGUUGUUAAAGACGACUUUAAGUACGGGGGAGGGAAGGGGACGUUCUGGCGUAAUAAUCCAGGAGCAUUGACGUUACCCGCAGAAUAAGACACCGGCUAACUCUGUGCCAAC
rnacentral:rRNA from 1 species